AUGGACUUCAACUUGUGUGAUUAUGUGUUUGCUGAUUUACUGGCGGCUUGCUGGAAAGUAAAGCAAGACAUUCAAAAUAAUAGACCUGUUACUCACUUGAUGGGAUGCCAUCUUUUUUCCAGGUAUUCACUACUAUCAAGCAUAUUUUGUUUUCUGCGAUACAUAGAAGAUUCUUCUUUGCUUCCUCCAAACAACCAUAAUUUAAAACUCAAUGGAAUUGCAGAUUUUCUAUCUCGACAACCUAGACCUUGGCAUGCUAAACCUCCCUCACAAUUCAUACCCACGAAUAUCCUGUUUCGACGAAUCAAGAAUCGGGAAGAUGAUCAUCCAGUGCACUAA
rnacentral:rRNA from 1 species